rnacentral:lncRNA from 1 species
GUUCAGUUUAUACAAAAUAUUUCAAUCUUAAUGCAUCUGUGGACUCACCAGUUUUGAAAAUGGUGAGUCCAGACAGAUUUUGAUGAGUCCAGGACUCAUGGACUCGCCUUAGUGAGAACCCUGACAUAAAUUGAAAUUUUAUAGGGCUUGACUUCUGUUUCAUCAUCUCUGGGAAAAGUUAGAAUUUAUCCAUUGUCAAGUAUAUUAUACACAAAAAACAAAUAAUGAUCAAGGAGUAAAAACUCAAAAGACUCUUUUCCUAUUACCUAUUAAAUUUUGACUCAUCAGUUUAUAAUUUUUCGACUACUCACCUAUACGAUUGGACAUCCUAGUAUCAAUGCGAGUAAGAGCAAGAUAAAAGAGUCAAAUUAAGCUUGCAAUUGGUACAAUUUGCAGGGAAAAUUAACUGCUUAAUAUUUUCUAUUAACAACAAAAUCAUUGGAAAACAGUGGACUUUCUCCUCAAAUUACACCAAUUAUAUGUUUGAUUUUACUUAUUUUGAUUGCUCUUGCUUGACCAAGUACCAGGAUGUCUAACCACAGAGAAGGUAACCUGUUUAAGAAAUAUAAUUCUGGAGUCAAAAUUCGGUAAUAUGAAAAUAUUCUAUUAAAGUAUACCAUAAUUUAAAGAAAAAGUCAUAUUUUAAUUUUUUCAACUUUUAAAAUUAUGUUGCAAAUAGGGAAUCAUAAUUGAAACUGUAAGGGUCCAGAGGUUCUUUUCUCAACAAAUCUUUUAAAAGUAUAGAAAUACUUGUAAGUAAUGAACAUUUCAGUCUCAUUUACAAUUAAGCUCCAAAAUAUAUAAUUUUUUUCGUGAAAAGUUACAGAAAUCCAAAAAAAAAUUUAAUGUAUGCUUUUGCAUUAUUCUCACAAAAUUUGAAAUAUCUGUUCAAAAUAAUAAGUAUGCAUUUUUUGAACUUUUGCUUUUUGAAAAAACAUGAAGGGCACGGGCACAUUUUUAAGGCUUUUCACAAAAGUUUAACUGGUUCUGAUAAUACAAAAUUAUCAGCAAAGUGCAGAAUUCUUGGUGAAAUAUUCUCUUUUCUUCAAUUACCCCUAUACAAUCUCAUUCUUGAUGAUGAUCUCUUAAUCAAAAUUAAAUUUCAGUGGUAUUUUCCUAUGCAGUGUAAUAAUCAAUUCUUUAGUAAACUUUGUUUUUUUAAUGUAAAUUUUGUUUUUUUUAAUGUAAAUUUUUUCUAAUUUUCUUUAUUAAACAAUGAAAAGUCUUCCCUGCAUAUUUUUUAAACUACGGACCAAUUAAAUCAUUUUUUAGUCUAAAAAAAAGUUUCACAACAGCAAUGGUGUUAAAUUCUAAUUUUUCCCUUACAAACAUAAGAAAAGUGUAAUGGUCACCCUUAUAUAACUACAUACAUAAUAUGUCUACCACUGAAUAACAUAUACAAUUAAUCAGGGUCAAGUCUGCGUUUUACAAAAGUCACAUGAUUCACCACCAGUUGUAACUUCUAGCUGAAUAGGAAUUACCUUCUGCUUGUAAGUCACAUGACCACUGUGAAAUGCAGCUUAGGUCAUUAACAAAAAAUACUGGUACACAUGGUAAACAUGACAUAACAUAAUUAAACAAAAAAAUAUUUUCUUCAAACCAGUAACAGAUAUAUGUGGUGUAAUGUUCAUUAUAAUUAUUUACAGACAGUUUAUGAGAUUUUAUGAAAAGAAAUGUACAAAAUGUAUUAAAACACUAGAUAAGGGUCGUCACAAAAAAUAAUUUCCUAAAAGCAGAAACGGUAUAAAUGUGUUAGCUAAUGAUUAAAAAAAUAUAUUUAUAGAAAGCACUAAUACAUUAAAUACAAUAAAAUAUCACAAAAUUGUUGACUUUUUUUAUUUUUGCGUAAUCAGAAUCAAUCCUGCAAUUUUAAGAAUAUUAUCAUCUCUUUUAGAUGGGGUUUAAUAACUUUCGCUAAUUUUUUAAACUUUGAAAAUAGAUUCCUUUUCCAUGGGAGGCAAUUCUACUUGUUUUCAGAUACAGGGAUUUGAUAUUAACAAUUUUCAUUAGCACUUAAAAACACACACAUUGGAGAGAAAUUAUUAAUGGGUGUUUUCAAAUUUAAAGUUCUCCCCCUUUUUUACUAGAUAACUAGUUAACUCUAUUUAAGUUAAUAUUAAUAGCUUGAAAUAAAUGCAUCAAUAGGUAAUCAUAAGAAAUAAAACCAACCAAAAAUAUUUUCAACAACAAUAUGUAAAUAUUUCAAAAAUUAUGAAAAUUGUUAGAACCAAAUCUGAUUUUAAAAGUUGCUCGAGGAGAUGUUGAAAAUGUUUUUUUAAAAGGUGUAUGCUUUGUGUACUUGUGUUAAAUGUUAACAACUUCAGAUGAAGAAUAAAAAAUAUCUUUCAAUUGCCUUUUCUUUGUUGAAAAUUUUGAAUUAAGGUUCAAAUUAAAG